CCCUUAGAUGUUCUGGGCUGCACGCGCGCUACACUGACAUGUCCAGCGAGCUCCCAACCUGCUCGGCAAAGAAUGGGUACCCUUUUUAACGCAUGUCGUGAUGGGGAUAGAUUAUUGCAAUUGUUGAUCUUGAACGAGGAAUUCCUAGUAAGUGCAAGUCAUUAGCUUGUGCUGAAUACGUCCCUGCCCUUUGUACACACCGCCCGUCGCACCUACCGAUUGGAUGGUCCGGUGAAGCCUCGGGAUUGUGGUUCUUGCCGCUUUAUUGUGGCGUGACCGCGAGGACUUGUCUAAACCUUAUCAUCUAGAGGAAGGUGAAGUCGCAACA
rnacentral:rRNA from 1 species